AUUGAACGCUGGCGGCAGGCCUAACACAUGCAAGUCGAGCGGAUGAAGGGAGCUUGCUCCUGGAUUCAGCGGCGGACGGGUGAGUAAUGCCUAGGAAUCUGCCUGGUAGUGGGGGAUAACGUCCGGAAACGGGCGCUAAUACCGCAUACGUCCUGAGGGAGAAAGUGGGGGAUCUUCGGACCUCACGCUAUCAGAUGAGCCUAGAUCGGAUUAGCUAGUUGGUGGGGUAAAGGCCUACCAAGGCGACGAUCCGUAACUGGUCUGAGAGGAUGAUCAGUCACACUGGAAGUGAGACACGGUCCAGACUCCUACGGGAGGCAGCAGUGGGGAAUUUUGGACAAUGGGCGAAAGCCUGAUCCAGCCAUGCCGCGUGGGUGAAGAAGGUCUUCGGAUUGUAAAGCACUUUAAGUUGGGAGGAAGGGCAGUAAGUUAAUACCUUGCUGUUUUGCCGCUACCAACAGAAUAAGCACCGGCUAACUUCGU
rnacentral:rRNA from 1 species